rnacentral:rRNA from 1 species
AUUGAACGCUAGCGGGAUGCCUUACACAUGCAAGUCGAACGGAGUGGCGAACGGGUGAGUAAUGUAUCGGAACGUGCCCAGUCGCGGGGGAUAACUACGCGAACGCGUAGCUAAUACCGCAUACUAUUGGAGCGGCCGAUGUCGGACUGGCUGGUUGGUGGGGUACGGGCUCACCAGGGCGACGAUCCGUAGCUGGUUUGAGAGGACGACCAGCCACACUGGGACUGAGACACGGCCCAGACUCCUACGCGAGGCAGCAGUGGGGAAUUUUGGACAAUGGGGGAAACCCUGAUCCAGCCAUCCCGCGUGGGCGAUGAAGGCCUUCGGGUUGUAAAGCACUUUUAGCAGGGAAGCGGUACCUGCAGAAGAAGCACCGGCUAACUACGUGCCAGCAGCCGCGGUAAUUC